GAGCGGCUAUAGCAAAUAAAUAGAGAGAGAAAAAGUAACAGUAAGGAAAUAGAGAUAAAGGAGGAAUUUUGAAGAAUAAGAAAGGAACAAUCCAGUGAACUCAUCCCUUUUCUAGAAUUAUUUUCUUUUAGCAAAUGUAAUAUAAAUAAGUCCAAUUUUUUUCCUUGAAUCAGUGUCCCAUUGUUAUUGUCAAAACUCAUUGCCACAUUCUCAUUUGUUUCAUACGCUGUCUGUUAAUAUUGCUUGUGUUGUUCUUCAUUUUAUCAUUAUACAUACUUAUUAACCAUGACAUGUACCACAAAUUAAUCCUAAAAGAAUUGGGGUCCUAGACUCAUUAGACUUGCAUCACUCUUUGAAAUAUUUUUGGUGUAGCAUAGACACCAUAAUCGUGUUUCGUUGUCCCUGGUGACUCUAACUUUGUUGCGGCAACGAUUCGAUUCAUCAUAGUGUUGCCCGCAUCCCAUGGCUGUGAGCAGUAGCCACCGGAAAGCUUUCCACCUUCUCCGGCGCCAGCAAGAGCGUGGUGGGAACCUGGACCUUCGAUCCUAGAUGGGGAAGACGACCCCAUCCUUUUUUUUUUAUUAUAUCUCUAUUUUUUUCCUUUUGUUAUUUUAAUUUAUUUUAUUUCUAUUCCUUUUUAUUUUAUUUUAUUUAUCUUGUAUAUGCUUUAUUGUUUAUUGCUGAUGGAGAAUAUGGGUCUGGGACCUUGCCACCAUUGUUCAG
rnacentral:lncRNA from 1 species